rnacentral:rRNA from 1 species
UAGUUGGUAAGGUAACGGCUUACCAAGGCGACGAUCAGUAGCCGACCUGAGAGGGUGAUCGGCCACAUUGGAACUGAGACACGGUCCAAACUCCUACGGGAGGCAGCAGUGGGGAAUAUUGCACAAUGGGCGAAAGCCUGAUGCAGCAACGCCGCGUGAGUGAUGAAGGCCUUCGGGUCGUAAAACUCUGUCCUCAAGGAAGAUAAUGACGGUACUUGAGGAGGAAGCCCCGGCUAACUACGUGCCAGCAGCCGCGGUAAUACGUAGGGGGCUAGCGUUAUCCGGAGUUACUGGGCGUAAAGGGUGCGGAGGCGGUCUUUCAAGUCAGGAGUGAAAGGCUACGGCUCAACCGUAGUAAGCUCUUGAAACUGGGAGACUUGAGUGCAGGAGAGGAGAGUGGAAUUCCUAGUGUAGCGGUGAAAUGCGUAGAUAUUAGGAGGAACACCAGUUGCGAAGGCGGCUCUCUGGACUGUAACUGACGCUGAGGCACGAAAGCGUGGGGAGCAAACAGGAUUAGAUACCCUGGUAGUCCACGCUGUAAACGAUGAGUACUAGGUGUCGGGGGUUACCCCC